GGGGGGGGGGGGGGGGGGGGGUGGCGCAGGCAGGUCGGGGGGGGGAAGGGAGCUUGCUCCUGGGUUCAGCGGCGGACGGGUGAGUCGUGCCUAGGAAUCUGCCUGGUAGUGGGGGAUAACGUCCGGAAACGGGCGCUACUACCGCGUACGUCCUGAGGUGGAAAGUGGGGGAUCUUCGGACCUCACGCUAUCAGAUGAGCCUAGGUCGGAUUAGUUAGUUGGUGGGGUAAAGGCCUACCAAGGCGACGAUCCGUAACUGGUCUGAGAGGAUGAUCAGUCACACUGGCACUGAGGCACGGGCCCGACUCCUACGGGAGGCAGCAGUGGGGAAUAUUGGACAAUGGGCGAAAGCCUGAUCCAGCCAUGCCGCGUGUGUGAAGAAGGUCUUCGGAUUGUAAAGCACUUUAAGUUGGGAGGAAGGGCAGUAAGUUAGUACCUUGCUGUUUUGACGUUACCAACAGAAUAAGCACCGGCUAACUUCGUG
rnacentral:rRNA from 1 species